AUGAUUUUCAAAGGCUUCCAAGUUAUUUGCCAGUUUGUAGUUGCUCAGAAGAAAGCAAGGUGUCACCACCUUCUCUUCACAUUUCCUGUGGCAGGCAUACUUGCAAACUCUGCAUGAAAUGCCUUGGCUAUCAAUUACUUCUUUGCAGAAUCCACAGAUUUUGGAUUUCUUAAAGGAUUUGUUUUUGAAAGUAUGAGACUUCAAUGCUGUUUCCCGAGGCUUAAUCAUCAUCUCGACCCCUUCUUGCGCCGAACGGCGGUGAGGCAGGGGACGCGGUUCCCUCCCGUGGAGCAUCAAACUCAUCCGGCCGCCCAUGGGGCGUCCCCACUGCCGCUUCUCGCUUUCAGCGCGGCCCUUGUGGCUCUGUCCUUCGCUUGCGCGCAACUCGACCUCCUCAGCCGUCGCCAGGAGCCAUGAGGCACCCGCACCUGCUCGGUCGGUGUCAGGGCUUUCUGUACCGGGUUCAGCCCUCGCUGUCAACUGCUCCCAGAGCUCCUUCGCUGUGUGCUUCCCUUUUUGUUAUCGGAUCUAGGCUGAACGCACCGUGCCCGCUCCGAGGCCAGGACAACAAAUCAGAGAGCCUGUGCCUAAAGCUGCGUCUCCAGCUAAGGAAACCUAGCCCGCCCUGUCCUGGUGGGAGGGUUUUUGGAUGGUAUGGAUUCAAUAACAACGAAACUGAAAACUCGCGAAGCAAGCUGUUUCAAGAGUGUGUGCUGCUUUUGUGAAGAAAAGCAAACUUUCCAGCAAUCUAUCACUGAGGCAAGCCAAAUGGGGCUCAAAUACCAGAGUAACUUGAGAAUGAAAAAUAGGUAUUUAAAGUCAACACCGAGAAUGACUUUGAAAACAGAAUUUCAGAAGGGGAGAACCUACAGGAAUUUCCUGCCUCUUUGUGUAAUCUGCCUGCCUGUAUACAUUAAUUCCCAUUAGUUUUAACAGAACUUAUUUGUCCUGACUUACUCUCCUGGCUGCAAAAGAGUGUAUACCGCUAAUGGUAAAGAUAACUAUGCGAUGGAAACUCAGCACUGUAAGCUUAAGGUUGGGGUCUCUGCUUCCCUCUUUGCCAAAGACUUUUGGUGUCAUUUGUAAUUCAGGUUUGCAGAGGUGUGUUGUAAUUCUGAAUCUUUUAAUUGUUAGCUCUCCAGCUUCACAAUGCUGCAUUGCCCACAAAGCUGAGAAUCUGUGGUUCACUCUCAGGGGUCCUGAGAAGUUCAAGUCACAUUUAUCCAACUCUCAUGCUGUAAAAAUAUGCCUGGAACAGAACAACAGUGAGAGUUCAUUAUCUAUUUCCAAACACUUGAAUUUCAGUGUUCUAGAAGCAGUAUAUUAAAAAAGAUUUGGAGUAAGUAAGUCAGCCGGUUGUUUGUUUGUUUGUUUUGUUUUCUCAAGGAAUAGAAGAAAUAAGAAGUCUUUUCUAAUCACUUAAGUAGUAAUAAAAUCUGGCAUGCUUUGAUAAGUAAAAACAAUCCAUCUUUUUUACAGCCAAAAAGGAAAAUGAGAUAAAUUUUAACACUAUUGUUAAUUUGUACACCCUGAAUAUUCUAAUUGAGUAUUUGGCACCCAUUAUGCCAAGCACUCAAAGAGACUGAAGUUAUUUACUUCAUAAAAUGUUCUGUUCUUGUGCAUGGAGGAAUUCAGGUAUACACUGAGUACUCUGCAUGAGGUCAAUUCUAGGCUGUCAGCUUAUUUUCACUGCAUUAAUCUUGUCUGCCCUCCUCCCUGUUGCUUAAACUCUGUGUUCAAAGAGUCUGAAUGCACAAAUGAAUUAUUUCUGCAGGACAAGGAAUAGAUUAAGGGAGAAAAGGUCACUGUACAGGAAGAGCUAUUCUUAGGUAACCUGAAGGUCUGUUGUCAUCUUACAAGGUUUUCACUGGGAAGUCACAAAUCUUGAAUAAUGAGCUGUAUUUGAAACAUCACAAACUGAUUAGAGUCAUAAUAUGGAAAGUGUAGGUGACUUUUACAAGCUAGUCAAAAGCAACCUCUCUAACCAGCAGUUGUACUGGCUUCCCUGCUCCAAGGGAGCUCAUUUGAGAUUCAUUGACUGAUCCACAAAUAAAAGGUUGGAGGAAGAAACUUAAUUCAGUAUUAUUAGUUUGACAGUUUAGGAGUGAGCAUUUACAGGUUUUAAAUGCCUCUGCAGAAACAAAAUGUGGAAAUGCCAACUCUUCUGACAGAAUUUUCACUGCUUUAUCUUAGUAGAAUAUUCACUUCCACUGUUUUAGUGUUUUGACUCUACUUUUAAUUACUGACACAUUGCAAAACUUAACAAACUGAGCCAGUGGUUCAUAUGGUUCUAUUGUUUCUUUGUUCUGUUUAAAAAUUAAUAAAUACAUACCAACAACAGAUUGAUUUAUUUUUUUUUCUCAAAACCAAAGAGGAAUCAAGUAGCCAGCUUGUCCAAACAUUACAGGGGGACAGAGUCAUGCUUACUGGUAGAUAUCACUGAGGUUAUGGCUGUCUUAACCAGUGCCACCACUUCCUUUUUCACAAAGAUUCUUGAAUAGUAGGUAGGCAGCUUGCCAUCUAAUCUUGCGAAAGAGACCACAGUUUUAUUAGAACUUUUCCUAACAGAAGUUCUAAAGAGCAUUGUGGAACUCAAAUGCUAAGUUCCCU
rnacentral:lncRNA from 1 species